GACGAACGCUGGCGGUGUGCUUAACACAUGCCAGUCGAACGGUAAGGCCCUUUCGGGGGUACACGAGUGGCGAACGGGUGAGUAACACGUGAGUAACCUGCCCUCAUCUCUGGGAUAACAGUCGGAAACGGUUGCUAAUACUGGAUAUGAGCCUGCAAGGCAUCUUGUGGGUUGGAAAGAUUUUUUGGUUGGGGAUGGACUCGCGGCCUAUCAGCUUGUUGGUGAGGUAGUGGCUCACCAAGGCUUCGACGGGUAGCCGGCCUGAGAGGGCGACCGGCCACAUUGGGACUGAGAUACGGCCCAAACUCCUACGGGAGGCAGCAGUGGGGAAGAUUGCACAAUGGACGGAAGUCUGAUGCAGCAACGCCGCGUGCGGGAUGACGGCCUUCGGGUUGGAAACCGCGUUCAAUUGUGACGAAGCUUUUUGUGACGGUAGCAGUAGAAGAAGCACCGGCUAACUACGUG
rnacentral:rRNA from 1 species